UGAACUCCGUUGUCGGAAAUCAUCCGGCGU
rnacentral:piRNA from 1 species